rnacentral:rRNA from 1 species
GGGUGCGAUCAUACCAGCACUAAUGCACCGGAUCCCAACAGAACUCCGAAGUUAAACGUGCUUGGGCGAGAGUAGUACUAAGAUGGGUGACCUCUUGGGAAGUCCUCGUGUUGCACCCC